rnacentral:lncRNA from 1 species
UGAACAUCAGCCCCUGGCUCCGGCAUCUUCAUGUGAAGAGUGCCGCUCAAAGCACUGCAUCGCGAUGUGAUUACUGAGAACCGCUUGAGUGCCGGGUGUCUGUUCCACAAACGCUUCGUCAGUUCCUCAAACAAAAGACUCUUACUUCAUUUCGUGAGAAGCAAUUCAUGUUUUCAUAGAUCUUGUUGGUGGGACCUGAAAAAGAAAAUGACUUUUUGGCAACCAAUUCAUUUUUACCACUGCUACGCAGCCAAGCCAAGCCAAACAUCGUUUUUUGCAGUCUGACAACUCCUUUUUCACUUCUAAAUAACAGGGAUGAACAUUAAUUUCAUAGAGCCAGCUGAGGUUAGGAGAAAUAUUGACCACUGAGGACACACAGACUCAAAUGUGUUUUGAAGCUGUUUGAUCAUAGAUUCCUCUGAAACCUAUAUUUAAUGAUAUAUUUAAUGUAAUUCAUUUCAUAGCCUGGCAUAUCAUUGAAUUCAUUAACUUCUUUCCGGAUGUAAAUCAUUGUACUGGAUUGGUAGCAGCCAGUAUCAUAUUUGCAUACAAGUUGUGUUCUGUUUUAUUAACUGUAACUUCUGCCAGGCUGUUAUGCUGAUAUAUAUAUUUUUUGUACCAGCUGCCCUUGUCUGGUUCCUCUUUGUAACUGAAAUUCUUUGGGAUGUGUCCCUAUAAAUUUGUAUUCUAGCCAAAACCCAUCUCUGCCAGCGGUGUUUUUAGAACAGGCCAGUCUACUUUAGGAAAGGUUUCAGAGUAGCAGCCGGGUUAGUCUGUAUCCACAAAAAGAACAGGAGUCCUUGUGGCACUGUAGAGACUAACACAUUUAUUUGGGCAUAAGUUUUUGUGGGUUACAGCCCAUUUCAUCGGAUGCAUGCAGUGGAAAAUACAGUAGGAAGAUAGAUAUUGUGAUGGAGCAAGGCCAGAUGGCUACAGUAAAGUAGUAAGGAACAGGUAUGUUAGCCCCAGGCUAAACAAAUCCCUAGGACCAUGGUAACCAAAUGGCAGUUGCUCCAGGUUAAUCAAGGCACCUGGGGCCAAUUAAGAUCUUUCUAGAAGGCAGUGGAGAUAGCUACAUUGAUUAGAACACCUGCAGCCAAUCAAGGCAGGCUAAUCAGGGCACCUGGGUUUAAAAAGGAGCUCACUCUAGUCGGGGGGAGGAGCCAGAGGAGAGGAAGUGUGUGAGAGAGGAGCUGGGAGCAAGAAGCAUAAGGAGCUGAGACUGAGA